rnacentral:rRNA from 1 species
UGGGGAAUAUUGGACAAUGGGGGCAACCCUGAUCCAGCGAUGCCGCGUGUGCGAAGAAGGCCUGCGGGUUGUAAAGCACUUUGGUUGGGGAAGAAGGUUGGGCGUUGAAUAGAUGCCUGAAUUGACGUUACCCAAAGAAUAAGCACCGGCUAACUACGUGCCAGCAGCCGCGGUAAUACGUAGGGUGCAAGCGUUAAUCGGAAUUACUGGGCGUAAAGCGUGCGCAGGCGGCAAUUCAAGUCAUCUGUGAAAUCUCCGGGCUUAACUCGGAACGGUCAGAUGAUACUGCUUUGCUAGAGUGCAGAAGGGGCAAUCGGAAUUCUUGGUGUAGCGGUGAAAUGCGUAGAUAUCAAGAGGAACACCUGAGGUGAAGACGGGUUGCUGGGCUGACACUGACGCUGAGGCGCGAAAGCCAGGGGAGCAAACGGGAUUAGAUACCCUUGUAGUCCCUGAGCGGGCUGGCAAGGCGCAU